GGCCUCAAAGCUCAGCUGGUGGAGCGUGCACUGUACAAAAGAGUAGGCGGAGUCCGUACGUGGGUUUGAAUCCCAUCGAGGCUA
rnacentral:tRNA from 1 species